rnacentral:rRNA from 1 species
GAUGAACGCUGGCGGCGUGCCUAAUACAUGCAAGUCGAGCGAACAGACGCGGAGCUUGCUCCUCUGACGUUAGCGGCGGACGGGUGAGUAACACGUGGAUAACCUACCUAUAAGACUGGGAUAACUUCGGGAAACCGGAGCUAAUACCGGAUAAUAUAUUGAACCGCAUGGUGCAAUAGUGAAAGACGGUGUUGCUGUCACUUAUCGAUGGAUCCGCGCCGCAUUAGCUAGUUGGUAAGGUCACGGCUUACCAAGGCGACGAUGCGUAGCCGACCGGAGAGACGGGUAGCCCACCCUAGAGCUGGGACGGCGUCCUGACGCCUACGGGAGGCAGCAGUAGGGAAUCGUCCGCAGUAGGCGAAAGCCUGACGGAGCAAGGCCACGUCAGAGGUAGCGGUCUUCGGUUCGUAAAACUCUGUUACUAGGUAAGAACAACUUUGUAAUGAACUAUGCCCGUCUUGACGGUACCUAAUCAGAAAGCAACGGCUAACUACGUG